rnacentral:rRNA from 1 species
AGUGACGGGUACACUGUGGGGACCGCCGCUGCUAAAGCGGAGGAAGGAAUGGGCAACGGUAGGUCAGUAUGCCCCCGAAUAUCCCGGGCUACACGCGAGCUACAAUGGUUGGUACAAUGGGUAUCUACCCCGAAAGGGGACGGGAAUCUCCUAAAACCAAUCUUAGUUCGGAUUGAGGGCUGCAACUCGCCCUCAUGAAGCUGGAAUCCGUAGUAAUCGCGUUUCAACAGAACGCGGUGAAUACGUCCCUGCUCCUU